CCCCGCCUCCCCCUCUCAGCAGCAGCAGCAGCCCACUUGCCUGGAGCGCGAGUUUUACCCCGAGCAAAUCGCGGCAACGCUCGUGCUCGUGCCUCUCGCGCCCAACCCUAACACAACCACCAGAUCCGGAGAUCCCGCGCGACUGGUGGCGGCGGUGGUUUCCUCGACUUGUUGGAGAUGUACUGGAAGAGCUGGGGCGCGGGUUUCGGCGGCAUUUUGCGCGACCGCGAAGCGGGCGGCCGUUCGCGGUCCGGGUAUUUGGUGUCGACUGUCGAGUGUCGAGGGAUCGCCCACCUCCCGGUCGUCGCGCAGAUCCACCGAACCCCCUCCCCCUCGGAUCCUCCCCGCAAAUUAGAUCCCGCUAGGUGCUCGCCCAGCCCGCGUCCCCCGUUGCUUCCCUACCUCGUCGCCUCAAGUGGCUCAAGAAAUCCUCCGCUCAAACCACAGCCACCGCUAGCACCACCGUCGCUACCACUACUAGCAGCAAAGCAGCAGGAUCUUCGAAGUGGUGCCGUGGCGCUGCCCUGGGUACAUGUUCCAGGAGUCGGGGCCGGUGGGCACGACGAACCAGAGCCGCACCGAGGUGCGCGUGCUCAUGGCGGAGCUCGCCGCUGACUUCCUGGGAACGCCUAGACCAGGACGACGACUCGGUUCGCGGACGAAGCCAGCCGUAGUCCUCCCUUCUCAGAUCUGCGCGCUCGUGGUGCAGGAGCGCUCCUGGCCCCCCGCCGCGACGGUGGCCAGGGCCCCCUCGCUGGCGUCCCGAUCGCGUCAACCACCUCAACCGCGCUGGCGUCCGCCUCCACGGUACGUGCGUUCGUCCACCCUCCAUUUGCAGAUUCGUCUGCAUUUGCUGUUUGCGGAUCGUCGACUCAUUGUUCUUGCCGUAUGUGUUCGAACCGUUUCUUUCAGAUGUCAAGAGGUGUAUCUUGUUUCUGCAGUGAGUUGCUCAUCUGGAGACAAUCGAGCGUAGAUUGUUGAAGGCACAUCUCCAAUAUUCCUGCACAAAAA